rnacentral:rRNA from 1 species
AUUGAACGCUGGCGGCAUGCCUUACACAUGCAAGUCGAACGGCAGCACGGACUUCGGUCUGGUGGCGAGUGGCGAACGGGUGAGUAAUGUAUCGGAACGUACCUUUCAGUGGGGGAUAACGUAGCGAAAGUUACGCUAAUACCGCAUAUUCUGUGAGCAGGAAAGCAGGGGAUCGCAAGACCUUGCGCUGAUUGAGCGGCCGAUAUCAGAUUAGCUAGUUGGUGAGGUAAAGGCUCACCAAGGCGACGAUCUGUAGCGGUCUGAGAGGAUGAUCCGCCACACUGGAACUGAGACACGGUCCAGACUCCUACGGAGGCAGCAGUGGGGAAUUUUGGACAAUGGGGGCAACCCGUGAUCCAGCCAUGCCGCGUGAGUGAAGAAGGCCUCGGGUUCGGUUAAAGGUACGU